CCACUGUCACAGUUUUGUAAUGGUAGUGGACUUCGACACUGACGGCAGUUGUGAAUGCAACUUUGUGUAUUAAUUUUUUUGGUGGUGUUGAAAGGGGUGGAACCCAGGGUCUCUCACUCACAAGUGCUCUCCCACUGAGCCACUCGCAGCCCCUGUGCAACUGAGGUUUGCGUAGCAGCACAAGCUGUGGGUUGCUUUUCACAAUUUGCGCCCCUCACCUCCAGAUGGGAGCUUUGCUCUGAAACUCAGCAGUGCGUCAGACGCAGCUCUUUCCUCCUGGGGACAACUACGUCCUGGGCCAGGGCUAUCCCAAGUGUGCCUUUCUUUCUGUGGUUCUCGCCCUUAAUUGAACUGAGGCUUCUUCUCUACACGGUGGUCCGUCCUCCAGACAGGAAGAGGAGACCCAGAGGAGGUAGGAGUAGGAUACAGUUGUUGGUAGGUGCUGAAAAGUCCCUGGUCCACCCUGUUUCCUGCUGGGACAAAAUAAAGAGAGGUAAUUUUAAUACCCAGACUUACUUGGCAAAAGCUCAGGUGUGGAAUAGCACCCAGUCCAAAGGUCACCUGAGCUGGAAAGACCCAGGUCAUCCUGCCCAGAAGGCAUUAUCGGGUCCUGCACAUUCCAGGAUGGUGUAGGGGACAUGGCCGAAUGGUACCAAGCCCCUGAGGGGGUUGAGAGUGGCAGCAAAAUGCCAAGAUGACCAUGGCCCCAGGAGAGGACAGAGUGUGUGCACCUCAAGGCUGGAAGCAAUGGCAGUGACCAUGGAAAGCAGCGAUGGAUAUUAACUCGCACUUGUAAUAACCGCACCUCAGUAACUGCAUGCGUGUGACCCAGAGGGGACCAGGCGAAGGCUGCUCUCCUCCCUGCUGCAGGAUAGUUAAGGCUUCCUGGGGCAACUGGGUCAUCCUCAGGAAAAGGGAACAGAUGAAGAGAAGAACUGUGAAGCUGAAUGAACACUCAUUCACUUGAUGCUGCAGGACCCUGAGCUGUUUUCCAGCGGCAAGACUGAGGUAGCUUCCUCCCGGCAGCAGCAAGCAGACUGAAGCUGAGUUCCAUGAGGAAAGGUGUGACACUGGUGGAUCAGAUGCUGAUUGUUGGAAUUUGGCAUUGAAGGGCCUUGACCACAUCAUCCAGGAAAACUCAGUUUGGUUUCCAUAGCCUUGGACUGCUGCGGCUCGUACUGACCAGCCGCUUCAUCUUGCUUGUCUAGCUAUCUGUAAGGACGUGCGUUUCUCACAUCACAAAGAAUAAAAAAACAUUGCUUUCA